UUACUUAACUGGCAGGGAAAAUACCAUGAUCUUGAAGGUGGUUUUCCCAAAGUGGGGCUUAUCCAUUGAACUCCAGCUCUGCUGAUCUCUGCAAUUUCCCCAAAUGUGGGAAAUUCAACUGCAUAAUUUGAGGUAGUGAGGGACUAUGUUCACACUCUCAUC